rnacentral:rRNA from 1 species
GCACUGUUUCGGCUAGGGGGCCAUCCCGGCUUACCAACCCGAUGCAAACUGCGAAUACCGGAGAAUGUUAUCACGGGAGACACACGGCGGGUGCUAACGUCCGUCGUGAAGAGGGAAACAACCCAGACCGCCAGCUAAGGUCCCAAAGUCAUGGUUAAGUGGGAAACGAUGUGGGAAGGCCCAGACAGCCAGGAUGUUGGCUUAGAAGCAGCCAUCAUUUAAAGAAAGCGUAAUAGCUCACUGGUCGAGUCGGCCUGCGCGGAAGAUGUAACGGGGCUAAACCAUGCACCGAAGCUGCGGCAGCGACACUGUGUGUUGUUGGGUAGGGGAGCGUUCUGUAAGCCUGCGAAGGUGUCCCGUGAGGGAUGCUGGAGGUAUCAGAAGUGCGAAUGCUGACA